rnacentral:lncRNA from 1 species
AAUAAGCAUCUGGCGUUGCCAGAUUUUCGUCAUUGAUUCAUCAAUAGAAGCAAGUCAAGGGAUAGGUUUCGUGCUUUCUAUUGUGUUGAGUUGAAAGGCAAUAGGGUUGUCACCAGUGUUGAAAGAGCUUGUGCCUUUGGUGCGAGUUGAAGAUGUAACACCCUUUUUCUACCCCAAAAUAUUUAACAUAUAAUCAGAGUAAAUAAGCACGCAUAUAAACAAAAGGGCGUCACAUCGACGUUUUCAAAAACUAAAAGCUUUCAAAAACCAACAUCAUUCAUCAUCAAAAUCAGAGUAAAUAAGCACGCAUAUAAACAAAAGGGCGUCACAUCGACGUUUUCAAAAACUAAAAGCUUUCAAAAACCAACAUCAUUCAUCAUCAAUAUAUAAUACACCUGGUCAUUUAAAAUAACACGUCUCACUUAUCAUGAAAAUUCAAGCAUAUGCGUUCGUAGCGGAAAAUAAUGAAUACUCAUGUAUUUCAUAACAUGAUCCAUGUCCCAUACCAUGAUCAUCUCUCAAUAAUCUCUUCAAUUAAACAUGUUCACAAGUAAUACCAUAAAACGUAUCCAAAUAAGACAUGUAUUCAAUACUACCAAUCUACCAAGUGUUACAUGACCAGAGCAUUGACUCACUACUUAGUCUCUAAAACAAAGCACCAAAGCUCUCCAGCUAACCUCGAGUGCUACCGUUCACUUACUUCAGCAAUACUACUCCUGAGUAUCUGCACGAUACCCAUGUAAAGGUAACAUUCAAACAGAAAGGGUGAGAAUUCAAAUCAUUAUGAAAAAGUAUAAUCAAGCACAAUGAUUANGUGUAUAUUUGAGAUAAGCAUUGAAUUUAAUAUUGUACUCUUGAGUUUGAUGGAUGUUUGAAACAUGUGAAUAGAUGAUUGAUGAAUUUAUUUCAUGGUGAUAUAAGUGUUGAUGAUUCCUUUAAUUGUUGAUUUAAUCAUUGUGCUUGAUUAACUUUUGUCAUAUGAUGAUUAAAUCAACAAUUAAAGGAAUUCAUCACACUUCAUAUAACCAUGUAAAUAAUAUUCAUCAACAUCUAUUUCACAUGUUUCAAACAUCCAUCAAACUCAAGGAGUACAAUAUUAAAAUUCAAUGCUAUAUGCUCAAAUAUACACAUAACUACAAUUAUCACAUAAUCACAUGCGUUGUCAAGUUAUGUAUCCAAACAUCAUCAAAUUCAAUUAUCAUAUCUCAUACACACAUCAAAAUCACAAUAAUGCAUACACUCAAUUAUCACAUAACUCUAAUGUGACUCAAUGCAAGACAUGUGACUCUAUGCAUACGGUACCUCAAUGUGAACCCAACGUUUCACCGCUUUCCGAUUCAAUAUCUAGAAUCCAAGCCACGCUUCUGAUCCGGACAAGAUCAAAGCAACUACCACGCCUAUUUCCAAUUAAGGAUCAACGUGUGCUACGUCUAUUUCCAAUGAAGGAUCACCGUUUACUACCUCGCCUAUUUCCAAUUAAGGAUCAACGAGUGCUACAUCUACCUCGCCUAUUUCCAAUUAAGGAUCAAUGAGUGCUACAUCUACCUCGCUUAUUUCCAACUAAGGAUCAACGAGUGCUCAUCUACCUCGCCUAUUUCCAAUUAAGGAUCAACGAGUGCUNAACAAUAUAUCAUUCACAAUCCACCAAUGGUACAUAUACACAUUCAUAACAAUAUAUCAUUCACAAUUCACCAAUGGUACAUAUACACAUUCAUAACAAUAUAUCAUUCACAAAUCCACCAAUGGCACAUAUACACAUUCAUAACAAAUACACCAUUCACAUAAUACGCAAUUAACCAAUUCAUGUUACCACAUGAAUAAUAUCAAUAAAUAAUAACAACUCAUCAACAUCUUAACAUCAUCGACCUAACAACAUAAUUAUCACGCAAUCAUAUUACAACAAUGCAACGAUUCAUCAACCAAACGUAUAACCCAAUAUAUUUAUCAAUACAGUAGGCAUGUGAAUAUUAUUAAAACAUAUUAACAAUCAAUACCAUUUUUUAGGUAUGAGCAUUAGCUUUCUAACGCUUCAAACGCCACCAAAAUCGGACUUACGAGUUAAAAGUUAUGAUCAAAACCGUGCACGAAGGCAUUACUAAAAGUUGUUGUUUAUUAAAUUUUCCAACAUAAUUUUCAUCUUCUUCAACCCCCAGAACUUCUAUGAAAUAAUCUCCAAAAUUAUUUUAUUCCUGAAACAAAGUUAUAGUCCUCUGUCUCAACUAUCCGACGCUUCGAACGGCACUCGAUUUGGACUUACGGAUCGAAAGUUAUGACCAAAACGAUUUCGAUAAUAAAACAUAAAAAAAAAUAGGCCGCGAGUGUGACGGACAGCAUGCAGAAUUUUCCGCGGUUUUCAUCGUUGGUGGACUUCCGGACCUCCGAUUUCAAUUCCGUAAAAAGUCAAACAUUCAGAAAAUUAUAACUCACACAAUACUCCAAAUAUAUAACGUUAAUUUGCAGUUUUAACACAAUCAAUCACCACAAUCAAGCAUAAUCAUCAAAACCUAACAAUCCUAAAAUCAUGCAAAUUAGGGAUUUUAACCUAAACAUAUAUCUAUCCAUUGACCCGAUCAUACUAACCCAUAAUAAUAAGAAUUCCCCCCUUACCUCUUCAAUUUUCUGGAAACCCUAGCUCCUCCUCUUUACUUUUCCUCUUCUCUUUCUCUAUUGCCUUCAAAUGAUCAAUGAAUCCUAAUUCUCACACUCCUCCCCUCUUACUAUUUAUAUUAGUAUUCUAUUUGGGUUUAAGUCAUUAUACUUCUAAUUUAAUUAAUAGGCCCAAUAAGACCUAAUAUUUAAAUAUCUCUAUUUAAUUCAAAUAAAUUAAACUAACAUCAUAUAUCCACCAAGUUAAUUAAUUCAAUUAUUCAUGAUAUCUCCUAUCAACUAAAUAAUUAAUUAACACUCCACAAAAGUAAUAAUAGUAUAAUAAAUAAAUACUAAAAAUUGGAUUGUUACAGAAGAAGCCAUUGUUAAGAAGGUUGAAGGAAAUGUGUUGAAACUAAGGUUACUGUGAAAGUUGCUAAAGAAAAAUGCAGAAGAAAUAUGUAGGUACGCGAUUACGGAGGCAGAAAAGUUUGAGGAUGAAUAAGUGGCUAUUUAUAGGUGAACCAAUGGACAUUCAAGCGUUAGUCGACUGACAAAUGUCCAACUAGAAGGGAGUGGGAGAGUUGGUGGCGUUGGUUAUAAUCCCACGACCUAGAAGAUAGCUAGUAAUGAUGAUAGUGUGUCUGGGAAAUCGCAAUGCAGGAAAGCCAUCAUCACACAUAAAACCAUCAUUAAUGAUUAGAUGGCUAGCCGAAAUUUGGAAAGUCAAAUGUCGGGUUUCUCAGAGCUCAAGUUGAAACCAUCCUUUUCAAGGGGCAAUUUAUUAGCUGGUAAAUUUCGUCCCAAGGAGUGCAAAGCUUGGUCUACCAAAAAGGACGGUCGGAGGUUGGAUCGACAAGGCAGAAAGUCAAGAGUGCAGGGUCUACGUAGGGGAAAACAUGUUGAAGUCUAAGGCUAUUGCACCAUGAUGGAGAUUAAUCGUGAGUAAUUGAAUGUGGGAAGUUACCUGCAAACGUGGGAGAGGUGCUCUGACACGUGCCAUCUCAUGAAUGCGUUGUAACCUCCUAACGAUUAUUUUCUACUAGUAUUUAAGUGAAUUGUAAUGAUCAUUUCAGGGGGUGACAUUUUUUUAGCAUUGUAGUAGGAGUACAUUUGAAGUACCAAGCGUUUACAAGAAAAAAGUUAUCUCCCUACGAAAUGUACUUUUGCUUCCAUUUCUAUCUUCAAGUCAUUUAACUUACCGAAUUAUCUCUAUUUACUUUGUUCAUUUACAUCAUAAUUUUGUCCUUUAUUGCUUUACUUUUAUUGCAUUUCUAACUUGCAAAACGUUACAUUCACUACACAAAAAUAUUCCAAACAUUUUACCAACGAAAUAGUCAUAUACUCAACACAUCAGUAUAGGACUUUGUAGCAAUAAUAUACAUCCAGAAAAUACUUUAUACAAAAUAUUAAUUGGUACAAAUACAACAUAAUUGCCUAAUGUCAUCAGCAUAUACAUGUCCAUAACGUAAAAUACAAAGUAUGACGCAUGACAUAUAAUAGUGCAUAUACAAAAACUAAGAUCUAUGUACAAUAUCCUUAUUGCACAUAAUCCACAGUGGAAUAUCAUGAUAACAAAGUCUUCAAAACAUCAUCGAACAACCUUGUCCUUGCCUUUAACCUGCAGAGGACCACAUAAAAAACAACAAUGAUAGUGGGGUAAGAUAAUAAUCUCGGUGAGUUCCCCUAUCAUAUGGGUUCACUCGCCUCCAAAGGGAUCUCUCAACGAUUCUUAACUCAAGUCUUUAUCUUUCAUUACUUGUGUGUCACUCACACAAUGUAACUAAGAUUUAAGCAUUUAAGGGGUAUUUGCAUUAUACGGAAACAUGUACAAUUGAGUUCACCAACUCAAAUAAGUCACUAAUUGGAAACUGUAUCAAGACAUCUUUCCCCAACCAAUUAACCUUACGUCUAGGAUUAUCGACACGGGUCACGAAUCCUUGUAUCAUGCUUCGACUUUCUUGUGGAUUUCAGAUUCUCCAUGGGUCUUGAAACCACUUCAAGAAUCGUCGCUCCAUAUGGGACUUAAACCCAUUCCGAGCCUUUUCCUCACUCUAACUCACUUUAUGGUCCACGUCUUCUAUGGGACUUUAACCCAUUUGGUUGAACUAUGGGAUUCUAACCCAUUUGGUUGAUGUGAAGCAAUAAUGCAUGUAUCCCAAAUCUUACUUUUCAUAAGUAUCGCAAUUUGGGACAUGCAAUGCAAUGAGGUUGUUUCUGAAUACAUGACUAGUUCAUUAAUUACAACGUGAUUGUACUCAUCAAUCACUAGGUGAUCACAUUCACUUAGUCUUAUAACAUCAACUCAUGUUCCAUGCAAACCAUAUUAGUUUUUGACUAAGCUACAAUUAUAGCAACUAUUUGUCCAUGGUACACACUGAGGUACCUUCGUGUCCGAACAUCGUCAUCUAAAUCAUUUUUCAUAACCUAAGAGAUCCUUACUAGUUCAUUUGCCUUAUUAGUAUCCCUAGGUUAACCUCACUCAUCAUCAUAAGAUUUUAAUCAUUUAAUACAAGUCAUAAAUAUACAUGAUAGUAUAUUAUUAACAACUAAGUGAUAUUUUACAUAUAAGCAUGAUUCUAUUUUACCAUACGGUGGAGCAUUGGACUAGUUUUCCAAUGCAUAUGAGAGGAAAUGAUAUAAAUAUUGAAUUGGAAAAAGAGAGAGGAAAGAUAUCUUAAAGAGAGAUAUUUCUUAUAGUGACCAAUUGACCAUUCAUUAAUGUUACCAAAAUGUCAUUUCUCUUACUUAUUAACAAAAUUCAAUUGAAUUGAGUAUGAAUUAAACUCAACUGAGUUCACUAAUUACUCUAUUUGAUCAAACUAACAACAAAUAAAGUACACAUGAGCUCAAUUUGUCUAACCUGAUAACAAAUAGAGCAUAUAGGAGCUCAAUAUGUCCCAACUAACAAGGAACAUACCACUUAAGAGAAUAUGGAAUAUUACAUUAUGAGUUAAGUUUAUUAUAAAAAAUUACGUUUGACUCACUACAACUAUCAAAAUAUCGAGAUAUUUUCAAUUAUCAUUAUCAUUAGAUCACAUAUACAAUUUUUUCGUGUAUAAAUAUUAUUUUUGUUUUGACAUCAUUUAUAAAUGUAUUUGAAUCAACGAUAGAUUGAAUCAAUAUUCCCUCAACCAAAAUUAUUUACAUAAUGACCUCAAGAUCAACAUCAUAUUCAUCAUUUAUGUCGUUUAUAGGUUGUGUGACUUUGAAUGUGUAUUUGGAAAAACACUUCAAAGAGAUCAAGUAUUAUUCGUAUAAAAUAUGUUUGAAUUUAAACAAAAAUGUAAUCCCUAUUACACACAAAUUUAUACUUAAAAAGUUAGUACUCAAAUAUCUGCUACAUUGUAUAAAAAGUUCCGAUUCAAUCACCUAUACAAAUGGUAGUAGACUAUUCUAUCAAUUUGGAGAAUGACAAAAAGCCUACACGGCCAUAUCAUAGCAGCAUACUAUAUUGAAAAGCACAACUGGAUUCAUAUAAUAAAUUGGUACACAUUGAUUUGUCACUUUGAAAAGCUUAAUCUUAAUUCCUGACACAUUUUCAAUAUGCAAGUAAACUAAUAAGAAAACCCUUAGUUAUUUUAUUAUGGCAAAUAAUUUCAUUGCAAAGCAUCAAAACCUGAAAAUCGAAAUCAGAACAACAUGAAAACCGAAAUGAAUGCAAAAAUAAGGAGGAUGGGACAAACUUUAUUAUUAUUUUAAUUAGAGUUAGGGAUUCAAAAGAAAGUUAACAUUGAAGACGAAUUAAAUUCCUUCAGCUAGUAAUUAUAUAUCCGAAAAAAUAAAAUCAUCCCAAAAUAUUAUCGAUUAAUUCUCCUUUUUGAUACCUCUCUCAACUCCAAAAUGAUGACAAAAAAAAAUUGGAUCAAAAUUAAAAUGAAACAAUAUGAACAAAAAGAAUUAUUGCAUUUUCUUCAUCCUUGAGUUAAAAAAAUUAAAUUAAAUAAAAAUCAAAGAUGGAGACAAAAAAUCAAAACAUAUAAACAAAAAUCAAAUCAAGGAUGAAGAAAAUGCAAAUCAAACACAAAAAAAACAAAAAUCAAAGAGAUUAUUUACCAAAAACAACAUAAUAGAGAGAACAUAAUACUCCUGCAUAAAAGAUUUUUUUUUCAAAAAAGAUCAUAAUAAACAAAAAUGAAUAUAAACAAAAUGAGUAUAAAAUCACCUUAUCUUGAUGAUACAUUUUAGAUCUGUAAUUGGAUCCAUAUCCAAAAUGUUAUCCACAAUGUAUUUUAGUUGUGAAGAAGAAAAUAGAAGACCGACAAAUAUAUGAGAUUCAAUCUAUGAAACAUCAAAUUAAAUUUAAAUUUUGAAAUAGAAAGAGAUAAAAAUUUGCAAGAAACCUUAAACCUCAAGAAUAAAUAUUCGUGAAUAUUGUUAAUAUUGUUUUGAUACAUGUUUCCUUCUUCGUAUCUCGAUAUCUAUCUACAUCCCGGAAAAUAAAGAGGGGAAACAUGUUUAAAAGAAGGUGAAAAGAGAGAAAAAGAUAAUGAUUUUGAAUGAAAAAAUAUGAAGAGGUUUGUUACUUGACCCAUCUUUGAGAUUUGAUACUUCAAUGCAUAAGAACACACACUUCUACAAAAGAAAAAAUUUAUACCGUCAAUAUAUCACACUGUGAUCCGUAUAUGUUAUUUUAUAUGUGAUUAUAACAAAAGUCAAAUUUCUCUAACAAAUUAAUGAUUGUAAUUAAUUGACUGUAUAAAAUAUUUUUAUACUUUCUGUAUAUUUUAAUUAAUUGACCGUGACUAUAAUAAGAAAUAAUAAAAAAUAUAUAAAGAAUAUAUUACAAAAUUAUAACUUAAGGAAAAUAUAAUUAAAUAAAUAAAACAAAUAAUAAAUAAAUAAAGAGAGAGAAUAUAAUUACAAAAUUAUCUCAAUUUUAGUUCCAAAAAUUACUAAAAGAAUUAAUAACUUUUAUAAGUUACUAGUAUUUUCCACCUUCCAUUUAUGAUUUGAUUUCCUUAAUUUAAUUUUAUAUGAAAUGGACUCAAUUUGAAUUUGGAAUGAAUGGAGUAUAUACAUUGAAUUAUUGACAAGAAUCAUAUGAAAAAAUUUAUCACCACUCAGUCGUGUCAUCCAACAUAUAAGAAUCAAAUGGGUUUGUUUCAAAGGCAAGUUGCCUUAACCUUAUCUUGUGGUUAGGUUCUUCACCACCUAAGAAGAGCAUGGAAACUUUAUCAAACUCUCUUUCAAAUCUCAAAAUCUCAUCACUCCCAACACCAAAUCGUGAAUUCCAUCACUUCACAAGAACUCCUCAUGCAAUCCCUAAUCUUCCUGCACAACCAAAACCCCCAAAAAUCACAAAUUUCUCACACAAGAAUCAUUCUGUACCAUUCUCUUCUUCAAAACAGUAUUCCAAUAGACACGAAAUUGUUUAAAAGAGGAAAAAUACUCUUCUACUAAUCGCAAAUUAGUUUAUAACGAAAAUUGCAUUACAUUUUCUACUGAUAGAAAUUGUUCUAAUUUUGAACAAAAUUCCUAACUCUAACCCUAAUUGCUCCACUUUGUUUCUGCACUGUUUUCGCAAUCCCAAACAUUUGAUCUUUUCCAAUUUCUCUUUUGAUGAAAUNCAAAGGUUUUAAUGAUUAUCUAAAAAGGUUUUGUUAAUUAUUUAUAGACUUAUUGAUUGAUUUAAGAAAUGAUUACAGAGUAAUUUAUAGUUAUGAUGGUCGAGUACAUAUCAAUAGCUUGGA